UACGUAGGGGGCUAGCGUUGUCCGGAAUCAUUGGGCGUAAAGCGCGCGUAGGCGGCCCGGUAAGUCCGCUCUGAAAGUCCAGGGCUCAACCCUGGAAAGCGGGUGGAUACUGCCGGGCUAGAAUCCGGAAGAGGCGAGUGGAAUUCCUGGUGUAGCGGUGGAAUGCGUAGAUAUCUGGAGGAACACCGGUGGCGAAGGCGGCAUUCUGGACCGAAACUGACGCUGAGGCGCGAAAGCCAGGGGAGCAAACGGG
rnacentral:rRNA from 1 species